AACUCAGGGGCACUCUACCACUGAGCUACAUCCCCACCACUUUUUUUUUCUUUCUUUUUUAAGUGUAGAUGGACACAAUACCUUUACUUUUGUUUAUUUAUUUUUAUGUGGUGCUGAGGAUUGAACCCAAUGCCAGGCAAGCGCUCUACCACUAAGCCACAAACCCAGCCCCCUAGCUCUUUUUCAUUUUGAGACAGGGCCUCACUAAGUUGCCCAGGCUGGCCUCUAACUUGCAAUUCUCCUGCCUCAGCUUCCAAAGUAGCUGGGAUUUCAGGCACGCGCCAUGAUUUCCUGCUCAAAAGAUUAUUUUAUACACCCAUGUGUAGAACAGUAUUAUUCACAAUGGCCAAGAGGUGGAAACAACCUAGAUGUCCAUUGAUAGAUGAAUGAAAAACAUGUAGUAUGUACAUACAACAGGAUACUAUUCAGCAUCAAAAAGGAAGACAAUUGUGAUAGAUGCUACAAUAUGAAUGAAACUCAAAGACAUUGUGCUAAGUGAAAUAAGCCAGACACCAAAGGACAGUCAGGGCUGGGGUUGUGGCUCAGUAGAAGAGCACUUCCUUGCAUGAGUGAGGCACUGGUUUCUAUUCUCAGCACCGCAUAUAAAUAAAUGAUUAAAAUAAAGGUCCAUCAACAACUAAAAAAAUAUUGGGGCUGGGGAUGUGGCUCAAGUGGUAGCGCGCUCACCUGGUACGCGUGCGGCCCGGGUUCAAUCCUCAGCACCACAUACAAACAAAGAUGUUGUGUCUGCCAAAAAC
rnacentral:lncRNA from 1 species